GGAUAUAAUGAUACCGGCACUAAUAUAUUUGAUUUCGUUGAAACUCAGUGUAAUCAAGCGUGCUUUGAAUGAGAUUUGUACUAAGUUGGAAUGAUUACUUGAAAAGUUUUUGCGUUGUACUCC
rnacentral:rRNA from 1 species